rnacentral:rRNA from 1 species
AUUGAACGCUGGCGGCAUGCCUUACACAUGCAAGUCGAACGGUAACAGGUCUUCGGAUGCUGACGAGUGGCGAACGGGCGAGUAAUACAUCGGAACGUGCCUAGUAGUGGGGGAUAACUACUCGAAAGAGUGGCUAAUACCGCAUGAGAUCUACGGAUGAAAGCAGGGGAUCGCAAGACCUUGUGCUACUAGAGCGGCCGAUGGCAGAUUAGGUAGUUGGUGGGAUAAAAGCUUACCAAGCCGACGAUCUGUAGCUGGUCUGAGAGGACGAUCAGCCACACUGGGACUGAGACACGGCCCAGACUCCUACGGGAGGCAGCAGUGGGGAAUUUUGGACAAUGGGCGCAAGCCUGAUCCAGCAAUGCCGUGUGCAGGAUGAAGGCCUUCGGGUUGUAAACUGCUUUUGUACGGAACGAAAAGCCCUGGGUUAAUACCCUGGGGUCAUGACGGUACCGUAAGAAUAAGCACCGGCUAACUACGUGCCAGCCGCCGCGGUAAGAC